rnacentral:misc_RNA from 1 species
UCGUAGAGCUUCGGCUCUUUCGAGGGAGAACCCUUGCCUUUUCGAGCACCUGUUUGUUUCCCUUCCUCGGCAGGCCCGCCUGCCAAUGGGGACCUUUUUAAAAACCCUUGCGAUAACCUGAACAAAAAUCGUCUGAACAAAAAAAAAUCUAAAUCA